GCUUGAAUAUAGCUCAGUUGGUAGAACAUAUGACUCUUAAUCUCAGGGCUGUGGGUUUGAGCCCCCUGUUGGGCA